rnacentral:rRNA from 1 species
UACGUAGGGACCAAGCGUUGUUCGGAUUUACUGGGCGUAAAGGGCGCGUAGGCGGCAAUUCAAGUCAGCUGUGAAAUCUCCGGGCUUAACUCGGAACGGUCAGCUGAUACUGCUUUGCUAGAGUGCAGAAGGGGCAAUCGGAAUUCUUGGUGUAGCGGUGAAAUGCGUAGAUAUCAAGAGGAACACCUGAGGUGAAGACGGGUUGCUGGGCUCACACUGACGCUGAGGCGCGAAAGCUAGGGUAGCAAACGGG